CCAAAGGAAGCCAGGUCUGAAGACAGGGGGCCUGAGACCCUAGCCUGGAAGGAUCCUGCUCAAAAAGGAAGGCUCUGGCUCUUUGGGGCCAGACCUUUGACUGAGAUUUGGAGGACGAGAUACUGGCCCAGGAUGGGUUGAGAACAGCAAGUGCUGAGACAGCAGCAGCUGAUUUUAAUCAGAAGGAAUAAAUAGCCCUUCCUGUCCUCAGGGUUUCAGCAGAAGCAAAUACUGGGCCAGACCUUGUGCUGAGUGCUCUGGGCGAUGUGACCUUGUGGCUGCCCUCUGGGGCUGAUCGUCUAGUGGGGGGACAGACACAACUAACCACCACCCCUGUCUCCACUCACCGGAACA